GCGGAAGUGAGACCAGGGAGUCUGUCCGCCAUUGUGGACCCGAGAAGCGAAGAGCGAGAGGGGAAGAGGAGCGUGCAAGCGGAAGAGACGAGCCCCUUCCACCAACUCCCGAGCGCGAGGCCGUCUUUCUGGCUUCUCAGCGAGCGGCGGCGGCAGGAAGAGCCUCUCGGCCGAGGGCGGCAGCCAACUGCUGUGAGUGCACGGGGAGAGGCCCAGGCGGCGGCGGCGGCGGCGGCGGUAGCAGCGGCAGCAGCAGCAGCUCUCGGGUUGCGGUGAAGAAUGUCAGCCACUAGCGUGGAUCAGAGACCUAAAGGGCAAGGAAAUAAAGGUGGGGAAACAUGAUGCACAGAUCUGUUGACUUUCCUAACUUGAUGUAGUCAGGACCAGAGCAAAGAAUCACCUGACUUCUAAGGCCCAUGUUCUAUCUUGAUUUGACUCUGCUUCAUAGAGCAGAGGAAACAGGCGAAGAAUCAUUUUCAGUACAAAACGGUUCGAUUCAUCAAAAAGAUGCUGUAAAUGAUGAUGAUUUUGAGCCAUACUUAAGUAGCCAGACAAAUCAGGGACUUAGAAGAUUGGUUUUUUGGCAUUCCACAGAGAUGCUUCAGAAUAACAGCUAUCCACCAAUGUCAGAUCCAUACAUGCCUAGUUACUAUGCUCCAUCCAUUGGAUUUCCAUAUUCGCUUGGGGAAGCAGCAUGGUCCACAGCUGGAGACCAGCCUAUGCCAUAUCUGACAACCUAUGGACAGAUGAGUAAUGGAGAGCAUCAUUAUAUACCAGACGGUGUGUUUAGUCAGCCUGGGGCAUUAGGAAAUACCCCUCCAUUUCUUGGUCAACAUGGAUUUAACUUUUUUCCUGGUAAUGCUGAUUUCUCUACAUGGGGGACAAGUGGAUCUCAGGGACAAUCAACACAAAGUUCUGCUUAUAGUAGCAGUUACGGUUAUCCACCUAGUUCUCUUGGGAGAGCUAUUACUGAUGGACAGGCUGGAUUUGGCAAUGAUACUUUGAGCAAGGUGCCUGGCAUUAGCAGUAUCGAGCAAGGCAUGACCGGACUGAAAAUUGGUGGUGACCUGACCGCUGCAGUGACGAAAACUGUAGGAACAGCAUUGAGCAGCAGUGGUAUGACCAGCAUCGCAACCAAUAGUGUGCCCCCGGUUAGCAGUGCGGCUCCGAAACCCACCUCCUGGGCAGCCAUUGCCAGAAAGCCCGCCAAACCUCAACCGAAACUUAAACCCAAGGGCAAUGUGGGCAUCGGGGGUUCCGCUGUGCCGCCACCUCCUAUAAAACACAACAUGAAUAUUGGAACUUGGGACGAAAAGGGGUCAGUGGUAAAGGCUCCACCAACCCAACCAGUUCUGCCUCCUCAGACUAUAAUCCAGCAGCCUCAGCCAUUAAUUCAGCCACCACCCCUGGUGCAGAGCCAACUGCCUCAACCGCAGCCUCAGCCGCCACAAGCGCAGCAGCCGCAAGGACCUCAGCCACAGGCCCAGCCUCACCAAGUGCAGCCCCCGCAGCCGCAGCUGCAGAACCGCUGGGUGGCGCCCCGGAACCGGGGGGCCGGCUUCAACCAGAACAACGGAGCGGGCAGUGAAAACUUUGGUCUAGGUGUCGUUCCUGUCAGCGCUUCCCCGUCGAGUGUGGAAGUGCACCCCGUGCUGGAAAAGCUAAAGGCCAUAAACAACUACAAUCCCAAAGACUUUGACUGGAACCUGAAGAACGGACGUGUGUUUAUAAUUAAGAGCUAUUCUGAGGACGACAUACACCGUUCCAUUAAGUACUCUAUCUGGUGUAGUACUGAGCAUGGGAAUAAGCGUUUGGAUGCGGCUUACCGUUCCCUGAAUGGGAAAGGCCCACUCUAUUUGCUCUUCAGUGUGAAUGGCAGUGGACACUUCUGUGGAGUGGCUGAGAUGAAGUCUGUUGUGGACUAUAAUGCGUAUGCUGGUGUCUGGUCUCAGGAUAAGUGGAAGGGCAAAUUUGAAGUUAAAUGGAUCUUUGUCAAAGAUGUCCCCAAUAACCAAUUACGGCAUAUUCGCUUAGAAAAUAAUGACAACAAACCAGUUACCAAUUCAAGGGACACUCAAGAGGUACCCCUAGAAAAAGCUAAGCAAGUGCUUAAAAUAAUUGCUACUUUCAAGCAUACCACCUCAAUCUUUGAUGACUUUGCACAUUAUGAAAAGCGUCAAGAAGAGGAGGAAGCCAUGCGUAGGCAGCAAAUGCAUGAUUACAGUCAACCCUCCAUGUCCACAGAUAAGAACCUGUCGAUAUGGAACCCAUGGAUACAGAGGGCCAGCUACUGUGAGGGCCUUGAGCGACCUUGGAUUUUGAUAUCCACGGGGGUACUGGAACCACCUCCCUGAAGCACAUAAAAUAAAUAUUAAAGGUUUACCAGUAAGCCACUUAAGGUGAUGAUCCCUUUGAGGACACUGAAGAAAAUUUUUGCUUUCAGCUCUCUCCUGCCCUUAAGGGUAGGGGAGUUCUUGGCUCAUCUGUUAAGCUGUGUCAAAAAGACAUGGGCUGGAGAGAAAUAGAAACAAACAAUAACCCUAUGAAGAUGUCCUGUUAGAAUUACAACACUAAUGAUGUAGACUCUGGAAAUGCCUAAUAAGUCAAAGAAGACGUUAUUAAAGCUUUUUUCUGCUUAAGGUGACAUCUUUGAACUCUAACAACACAGAAUUGACUCUUCUUGUAAUGGUUUUCAUCAGCGCGUCUGCCCUUAUACUCUCACCAAACACACUUGAGAACUGUAACUCCGUCAAGCACUUUCUGUCCUGAAGCUUUUACCAGUAUCUGCUGUCUUUUGUAAUUAUGCAUCCUAGCUAAGGCACAGAAGACUGAAUGAAUGCAAGGAUUCAUUAACUCUUUGAAUUUGUUAAAUACUAACAGUUAACCAUUAGAAGUGGUUCAAUGAUGUAAGAGUCACACUGCUUCAACUUUUUCUUUGUUGUAGUUUUUAAAUUGUCAAUUUUUAGCUAUUUGACAGAUUAAAAGCAAAAGAAUCAUGCCAUACUUAGUCCUGGAGUUCAAGUCUAAAUGUUUAUGUGAAAAUUAUUGUAGUAAACUUUUAAUAUGGCAAAGCAACCUUAAGCUCUAUUUUAGCCAAAUGAAACAUAAUCUGAGAUUAUAUUAGAACAUUUCCCUUGUCUUCAAACUGUUUGGUGUAACAGAAUAUUGAUAUGCAGCUUGGUGGAUCUCACCAGUUAAUGCACAUUCUUCUCCCCUCCUUCCCCCAAUAAUAUGUAUACUGAAAAAUGUGCAUUUGUCUGAGGAAUUAUUUUGUUUGCUACCACUUAAUGAAUCUCAAAAUUUUGAGUAAUGUACCUCAGUCUAAUCAGACUUUUUAUGACCUUUAUAACUACAUUUAAAACCCUUAAUUCCUAUUUCUGGGUGUUUGCGAGCCUGAUUGCUAUCAUGAAGUAAAAAUUUAUUACUCUAGGUAUUCACUAGCUAAAUAAACAUAGUUCUUGUUUAGCAAGCAUAUAUUGUUCCUCAACUCCUUUCUCCGGCUUUUGCGGUGUCCUGGCAUCCUUAAAAUAUUUGAAAAUAUGGCCUUGAUCCAUGGAUUAAAUCAGUAUCUAAGUGAAUGUGUUGAUGUUUUAUUGAUCAGAUCUAUAUAAAUGGGAAUACAGCAUAUAUCUGGGUAUUCUUAUAGUUAUCUUUUUAACAUCUUAUUUUUUUCAUUAAUGACAUAUCAACGUUAAUUUUGUAUCUUGAAACAAAUUGAUUUUGUAUAAUUAAAUGUGUCAAGCAUCUGUAUUACCUGAUUUGAUGGCAUAUGGUUAUGAAAUAAUGUACUGCCCCUUAUAUUACGGUUCCAAAAGGAGAAAGCUAUGUAGAAAGAUACAUUAAGGAUGGAAAUAGCAAUAUAGUAGAUUUGAAUACCUUGAUGUUUUGCAUUACUCCACUUAUGUUUACAUCAUGUUUAGAAAUGUUUUCAUUACUAUGGUCUUCGGUCACUUCAACUCAAAAAUUUAAUGACAGAUAUUUCUUUGACGCUUUCAUUUAUAUGAUUUUUUUUGUACAAUAUUUUCUUAAAAUGUACAAAUACUGUAUUCAGGUGAAAAAAAUACAGUAUUUGUAGAUAAAUUGUAGUGACUUCACAGUGCUUUGGUAGUCCCAGCAUAGUUAUCAGUGUUUACUGAAGGGAACAUCAAAAUAUUAAUAGUGUAUUACAAAAAUCAAGACUUUCUUAAAGGAAAAUUGCACCUAUUUUACCUUUUUCAGAGUAAGCCAUGAAAUCUUGUAAGAUAUCUCUUAACUAUUUAUAAUGAAAAUUGGCGUUUGGGUGUAGUCCCCCGCAGCAGCGUUCCACAUCCCUUGGAUUAUAUAAGUAGGACGGGUCAGAGAGGACCAUUGUCACUCUGAAGGUCCUGUGGGAGAAAACUGUGAGGAGUGACCUUGUAGAAAGGCUCUGAGUCCUCUGAGCUUCUCUUUUUCUUGGUGCUUUAUUAGCAAUUCUGAAUAUUUUUUAUAAAACUAGUUGUUACAUUAUUCACAGAUCGAAACUUGUUUAAUUUAUAGUAGGUUUCUGUGUAAGAAAUGUCACAGAACUCUCAGCAGGCAGGCUGAUUGCAAUAGCAGACUCAGAAGUGUCACCUGUAAUUCUACUCGUGGUGAGGAGUUCCUCCCAGUGCCUUUAACCUGGAUUUCUAAUAUUAAGUGAAAUGGGUGCAGCAUUCCUUUGGGAAAAACGAAAACAAAACUUUUCAAUCGGUGAAUUUUUUUUUUUCCCCCUCAUUUAAGUUUUCUUCAGAGUACCUGUUUUCUCUCCCUUCUUGGUCUGUCAAUGUACAGCAGAAUAUUUUUCCUCUUAAGUGAAAGGAUCGCAGGUUGUCUUGUUAGCACAAGGAAUGGGAGGUUUCCUAACUCCCAGGACCCAGAAGGGUGAGAAACCGGGCUCUUCAGCAGGAGACUGACCCUAUGUUUUGAGCAAUCACAGAUUGAGACAUUAUUGGCCCAGUAAACUCCUUGCCUAAUGUUUUUCGAAGAUCUGGUUUGAAUGUUUCUUAAUUAAAGUUAUCUUAUAUGGGUGUUUUAUUUUGAAAGGUAUUAUAUAGUUUGUAUAUUUAACAGUAAGGGGGAAAAUAUAACCAAAAUUAGUAUUCUUUCUCUAUACAUAUUGGUACUUGAAGAUUCCUUUCAGAAGAAACCCCAGCCUUUUCCUGAGUUCAAUCCUCGUUUUAACUUAAGUGAUCUUUUUAAUUCUGAAGCUGUGUUCUUUUUGAAUACCAUGCAUGGGGGUUAAAGCUGAUGUUAAAACAGUUUGCAAUAAAAAAAAAAAAAAAGAAUCAGCUUAAGUCAUUUAAUCAUUUCAAGUGCAUUCUGCAUCCUAUAAACGUAAGUUUGAGAAAUUUAAGAGAAUUGUGUUUCAUUAAGUUUUGCAUAUCUUUUGUUAUGCCAUGUAAAUUCCCUUCUUUUUCAUAUGAUUAAAGAAAGGUUAUGAUAAAAUGAUUAGUUCAUUUACAUUCACUUGUAGCAAUUACAUGAGAAUUUGAAUUUUGUCGUGUUUGGGUUUGUUCAUUCCUGUGAAUGAUGGUACAGUUAGGUGAGAUUUUCUGUUAUGGUACCCAAACUCACCAUUUGGUCCUCUUUAAUCUUUGAGGGUUUCAAUAAAAAUUGUUCACUCA